UUUUUUUUUUUUUUUUUUUUUUAAGGGCCACACCUGCGGCAUAUGGAAGUUUUCAGGUCAAAUCAGAAAUACAGCUUCCUGCCUAUACCACAGCCACAGUAACUUGGGAUCCUAGCCGUGUCUGUGACCUACACCAAAGCUCUUAGUGAUAUCAGAUCCUUAACCCACUGAGAAAGGCCAGGAAUCAAACCCGCAUCCUCAUGGACACUAGCCAGGUUCGUGACCACUAAGCCACGAUGGGAACGCUGGUUAUCUCUUUUAUAUAUAGCAGUGUGUAUAUUUUAGUCCUAAACUCCUAAUUUAUCCCUCCCCCCCUUUCUCCUUUGGUAACCAUGAGUUCAUUUUCUAUGGCUGUGGGUCUAUUUCUAUUUUGUAUAUAAGUUGAUUUGUAUGCUAUCUUUAGAUUCCGUAUAUAAGUGAUAUCACAUGAUAUUUGUACUUCUCUGGCUUACUUCCGUAUGAUCAUCUCUGGCUUCACCCAUGUUGCUGAAAAUGGUAUUAUUUCAUUCUUUUUUAUGGCUGAGUAAUAUUCCAUUGUGUAUAUGGAUCACAUCUUUUUAUCCAUCCAACUACUUGUCAAAGUCUUAUACAUGGUACAGGGGAAAUCAAAUGUACAACGUGAGUGGCCAAUUCAGCCCCCAGGUCUGCAAGCUAGAAUUCACACAGGUUUCCAAGGAAAUGAGAAGAUAACAGUACACUGGAUGCACCUCCUCCAGAACAAGGAGCUUUUUCUCCUUGUUCACCCUCUGAACAGAGCUUUUUCUCCGUGACACCCAAUGCCAUCUGCAGAUUUCCUUCUGCGGAUUCUAAAGGGAGGAUGUCUUCCUGCCAUCGCCUCAUGGACAACAAACGUGGAAGUACAGAGGGUUGCAAAGCGUCUUCUGCAGAGCCCCAGGCCUGGGAGGGGAGGUUCACGGGAGAAGUGGGGAGCAGAGAACGUCUGGUUUGGGACCAACAAGGAUCCCCCAUCACCAGGACCAACACCACCAAGGCCCCCCUCACACACACCCCAGCCCAGAACUCCAUAAGGGGACGGUCCAUGGACUGAGAUGACAGCUCAUCCCCGUCACAUGGUGGAAUGGGGCUUGUGAGAAAAAGGAAGUGUAAUUGUAGGAAAUUCACUUACCUUUCUAUUACCCCCCAUGCUCGUUCUUGCUACACAUGAGCUCUCUGAGGAGAAAACCCCAGUCAUAUAAGAUUGAGAGGAGGCAGCAGCCUAAAGGUAGAGUUCACCCUUGUCGAGCUAACGUGCUCCCCUGUGCUAUCCAAGAGUGUGGGGCCCCAGUUCCCACACCUGCCGGUUGUCUCCUUGAGGAGGAUGCGGAGGCACGUGUCUCUGGGGGCCAAUCUUGUUGGGCUUCAAGGCCUCUUCAAGGAGACUGAGCUCAAAGCCUCUGGCCGAGACCAGCAUCACCAGACUCUUAUCAUCACCCCACCUGUCUCGUUGGAAUGCCUCCUCCCCCACCUUGAGCAAUGACGCCUACUCCUUCCUACCCCUACUAGGAAAGGUAGGUGGCCUGCUCCUCACCCCACCCCUACAGGGCCCUUGUAAGCCCCCAACCAACAAGCAAGUGUAUCACAAGACCCCAUCUUUCCCCAGCCAAUCAGCAGAUCAGUGGGGUAUCCUGAGACCUCUCCUCUCCCUGGGCUAUAAAAACAGACAUGACCACGUGACCACAUGCUGGGUGUUGGCUCUCCCUACUUGUCAGGAAGUCGUCCGGCUGCGCUUGCAGUGUCUCUUAUCUCAAUAAAUUACUUUCUCUCCACCUCGCCAGGCUCCACAAAUUCUUCUUUCUUUGCACCCUGCUAUGAGUCCAGAAAUUCUUUUCUGACCUGCACACAAGGACCGUGACAAAUCACCCUUCCUCUUUGUGCCUUCGUCACCUCCACUCUCCCCAGAUCUUCCACUUUUCAACUCAUCCCUGACCCGCAUCUUUCCAACUCAACGUUCCCCCCAAAGGAAUCCAGACCCAAGUGUCUCUUGCUACGGGUCCAUCGUCACAGAUCUGAGCCUGAGCCAGACCUGGUAGACACCCUGCUGUCCAUGGCUCUGCUCUUGGUAGAAAAAAAGGAUAGAUGUGGGAGGGGUGGGAAUGGGGAAACUGGGAGGUAAUUUGCUUCUUGCGUUUCUUUUUUACUUUCAUGUAUGUUGGGGGAGGGGGAUAAAGAGACUCGUUUUGCUCCCCAAGUGUUGAAAUCCUGCCAGCUACCAUCAUCAGGUCUGCUGUGAGAUCUGUAACCCACCAGCAGCCCACUUGAGCUAUGGUUCAAAAAGUAUGUACAGCCUUUAAAUCCACGGGUGCCUUACACAGCCGCCUUCCAGUGUCUUAGCCCCACCUCUCUUCCUAAAUCCUGGGUCUUCUCCCUCCUUACAUCUCACCCAGACUAGAGAGAUUAGGAGAAGGAAGGGUAUCCCACCAUAUAUAUAUAUAUAUAUAUUUUUUUUUAAAUAGGUUCCUUGACGAUUUCCCCUUGUGGGAAGAACCCUGAGGUUUUAAAUCCAUAAAUCAACAGAUAAUAGUUCUCAAUUCUAAGUCUGACAUGCUGAAAUUUAGAGCCACCAUUAAGUCCUCUCCCACUUUUCAUAAUCGACCCCCAAUCCAGUGUUCCCCAUGCAACGGGGCCCCCGAGAGAUGUGCUGUGGGAGGGCACCAGAGUUCCUGCUGUCAGUCUCAAAGGUAGCAGCCCUCUGGAUAUCUCUCACUUCCCCUUAAUAAGAUGCAAUAGAUCUAUUAUUCGUUGGCUUAUCGAAACCUUUUCUUGAAGUUCUUUAUAGUUUCAGCUUCUAAUGAAGUCCUAUGGCCUAGAAGCUAUUUAAGGGUGAAACGAAUUCGGACCCUUGUAUCAAUUCCUUCGCCAAGUCCUUCCAUCAUGAGUCUCCCUCGGAGUCCAGUAAUGUCUCGAAAGCCAGAAAACCUAAAGCCCUGAGAAGUUCCCACACCCGACUUGCUCUGUACUUGAGAGCAGAUCCAUGGUCAGCUUUCGUUUUGGAACUACUUCCCAACUACUCCUCUCGUCCAGUACAAGGUCUAAUCCCAAGGGUUUCAACAUGCAAUAUUGGAAAGAACAAUUCCUUUCUCCUUCCUCUUCCCUAGAGUGGCUAGUGAACCUGACUUGAUAUUCCAAUUGAAUUGCUACGAGAGCACACCCACCACAAAGGCUUCAUUCAUCUCCACAAGAGUGUCCACGCUCUACUUUGCAGGAAUUUCCUUCCUUUCACUCUUUUGCUUUCUCUCCCUUUGAAGGUUGUAUUUUAAUUACCAGAGGAAGGUUUUCUUCUACAUGAAAGGAAAUGGGAAACUAGGCUGAAAACUCCAUUUCUUUCCAUAACAUCAACUGUGAUAUGCAUCCUUACGCUAAAUAUAAGCGUAAUGUCUUGUGUGUGUUGGGAGUAGCGUGAGUGCCUUUUAAGAGAGGAUUAUUCUAAUCAGAAAGACUAAUUGCAGACAGAGCCUCACAUUUUACAAGGGGCUCUUCCAGCUAUGGUCUCAACCCUGUAGAAAGUGAGGGUCAGGGCAAUGAGGAUCAUUUGAGAGACCCUCGAGCUAAGUACCUUGGGACAUCCAUGGCUGGUCCUAGCCUCUGGUUGUGAUGCCACAGAGCCAUCAAAUCAGGCAGAUCUCACAUCUAAAACCAGUCCACACCCCAGCUGACUUUACACACAUGCACACAAAUAAGUGCAUGUAAAACAGGUGGAACCUGAAUAAGGAUUAUCCUAACAUCAACUUCCUGGUCAUGAUGUUGAUGCUGUCGUCAGGGCAAGAUAUUAUCAUCAUCAGGGGAACCUGUGGGGGGUGGUGGCGAGGGGGAGAACAGGACCUCUUCGUGCUAUGUUUCGCAACUUCCUGUGUAUCUAGAAUUAUUUCAAAAUAACAAAUUCCAAAAAAUUGGUUUCACUUAAAUAUAAAUGUUUAGAAGUCUUUUUCAGAAGGAUAUUUAAUUUUUUUAUGAAAUAAUGAAUCUUCUAAUACAAGCAUUGGUGUACCCUACUGUAGUAAGACCUCAUAUAACUAACUACAUCUACGACAAAUUUAGAAUCUAUUUCCAAAUAAAGUCACAUUCUGAGACUAAAGGGGUAAGGACUUGAACAUAGCUUUUAGGGAGAGAAGGUGGAGAAAAGAUGCAAAGGCAGACAUGCACACUGGGAGACGCCCAUGUGAUAAAAGAGGCAGAUUAGAACCAGGUAUCUACUGGCCAAGGAACACCAAAGACUGCUGGUCACUCCAGAAGCUAAGAGAAAGGUAUGGGACUGUCCCCUAGACCGUUCGGAGGAAGCAUGGCCCAGCUGAUAUCUUGGUUUCAGACUUCCAGCCUCCAGGAUUGUGGAAGAAUAAAGUUCUGCAGUUUUCAGCCCAAACAAAGCAAAACAAGAAACAAAAUAGUGGACCCAACUGUCAAUUGCGCACACACACACAUACUAAUGCAUUGCUCCACCUGAUGAGGGAAAGCAUGGCAUACUUUUGUGUUUUUUUUAUUUAUUUAUUUUUUUUGUCUUUUUUUGCUAUUUCUUGGGCCGCUCCCGCGGCAUAUGGAGGUUCCCAGGCUAGGGGUCCAAUCGGAGCUGUAGUCUCCGGCCUACGCCAGAGCCACAGCAACGCGAGAUCCGAGCCGCGUCUGCAACCUACACCACAGCUCACGGCAACGCCGGAUCGUUAACCCACUGAGCAAGUGCAGGGACCGAACCCGCAACCUCAUGGUUCCUAGUUGGAUUCGUUAACCACUGCGCCACGACGGGAACUCCCUUUUGUUUUAUUUAAAUUACUUUUUACUGAUGAAUUCCAAAAUCAUUACCACAAUGAACUCCCAUGAUACAACUCCAUGAAAUAUAAUGGAAAAUUACUUUGAAAGAUGACAGCAAGGGGUGAAUUUAACAGGGCUAGACGUAAAGUGCACACACCUGGGUGUGCAUGUUUGGAGCCGCACAGGAGUCUCCAUAUCUAACGGCUGUCAGCAGGGCUUGUGUGGAACAAAAGCUCAGCCAGGGCAAGAGAGGACCCUGUUUACAACUGGACGGGCCAGACAAUACCCACAGUAUCAUUAUCUUCACUCUGGGGCACCACGGUUUCAGGGGGACAUUAAUGAACAGCAGCGGACACCAAGGAGAAGGACAAGAUUUCUCACCAUAAGGAACUGGUGAAGAAAUAUUUAAUCUGGAGAAACAGAUGCGAACGGGGCUUUGGAGCUGUCUUCUAUUUCAAAGGCUGUCAUGUGGAAGUAAGAUUAAAUCAGUCUACAGAAAUUAAAGCUAAGAUCCGUGGUAGGUGUUAGACAAUGGACCCCUUGGCUCUUUAUAAAGGAGACUGAGUCUCAUUAGGACUUGCCUGCUCCAAAUAUGUCUCCAAAUGGUCUUCUAUCUUCUCAGAGUCCCUGCCUUUCAUGUCGCUCCAUCAGGAGAAGGGAAGCUUUGACAGAGAAUUUUUGCAAACAAUGAUCGAAAAAAGAUAACACCUCAAGCUAUUCCUUCCUACGCACACAUUUGCAUAUAUUGGUUUCACAAACUAGUUGUCACCUAGCAAAACAGAAAACAAGGAGUUCCUGCUGUGGGGCAGUGGGUCAAUGAUCUGGCUUGUCUCUGUGGAAGUGGUGGUUUGAUCCCCGGCCCAGGCACAGUGAAUUAAGGAACUGGCCUUGCUGCAGCUGUGGUGUAGGUCAUAGCUCCAGCUCAGAUUUAUUUGGUCCCUGGCCCAGGGAAACUCCAUAUGCAGGGAGAGCCAUAAAAGAAAAAAAAAAAAAAAGCAGAAAACAAGUCCCUACAAGAAUGGGAGCCUCAACCAUAGAGCUUAGAGAAAACGGCAAAGUGGGCAGAGAAAGAGUUUGGGAGGAAAGAAUAUACUCAAUACGCAGGACCCAUUGAAGGUCCUUCCUUCAAAGCCCCAUUUGCAGACAAAUGGGGUUUUUACCAUAUUCCCUUCCUUUCCAAGAUGAGCUGCUCUGGACAACCCACUGGCUUUACACACACACACACACACACACACACACACACGUGCACGCACAUGCACACGCACACGUGCAUGAACGUAAAAUGGAUGCAUCCGUGUAAGGACACCAUUCUAAUGUCAAUUUCCUGGUUGUGAUGCAAGAUGUUACCAUUGGGGGAAACUGGAUGGAGUUACACAGGACCUCUGUGGGCUAUCUUUUGCAACCUAUUGUGACUCUAUAAUUAUUUCAAAAUAAGGUUUUGUUUUGUUUUGUUUUAAAACAAACUUGGUUUUCACUGACGUUAAUUUUGUUCAUGUCCUCUAUUUUUUUACAAAAAUUUUUGACAAUCUAUAGAUUCCGUUAUUGAUCACACUGACACAGACCCAACAUCUCUGACACCAAGACAAGUAACUGGCCGUCUCCCCUUACUCUGCCCAGAUGCUCUUUCACCCUCUCCUCCCUAGACAGGUGCAAACAUGCCACUAGUGGCCACUCUGCCAGUGGGACGGGAGGCAUGGAGGCAGGAGAGGGAAAUGGGUCCAGCAAAGAAGGAAAAGAAGGAAGAAAGGGGAGAGAGAAACGGGGAGAGAGAAGAGGGAGAAGCAGGCGAGGGAAGAAGGAAGAAGCAAAGCCAGCAUUUGUCAUUCAAAAAGAUAA
rnacentral:lncRNA from 1 species